CCAGCUCCAAAAGCGUAUAUUAAAGUUGUUGCAGUUAAAAAGCUCGUAGUUGAAGUUCUGGCUGUAUUGGGCCUUUGCACUUGAUGCGAAGGAACCAGCAGUCAUCCGCUUGCAAAUACAAACCUUCCUUAACUGGUAGGCUGUAUAAGCAAGCACUUUACCUUGAGAAAAACAGAGUGUUCCAGACAGGUUUGUCCGGAAUGCGUUAGCAUGGAAUAAUAGAAUAUGACUGAAGUCGAUUUAUUGGUUUAAGGCUUUAGUAAUGAUUAAUAGGAACAAUCGGGGGCAUUGGUACUUGUCAGUCAGAGGUGAAAUUCUAGGAUUUGACAAAGACUAACUGAUGCGAAAGCGUUUGCCAAGAAUGUUUUCA
rnacentral:rRNA from 1 species